AGCACAUGAUCUCAGUCCACCUGCUGCUAAUUCCACUCAGAUCUGGGGGAGGUGCAUCACAUGGAGGCAUAGGGAGAAUCAGGUUUGUUUUGAAAGUUUAUGGACUUGUACCAGAAGACUAGACAGGAAGAUAAAAUUACAUGAUGUUUCUUCAGGUUGAGAGAGGCUCCGUCCAGGUGCUAACGUGGGGCAGGCACAGAUUUUUCCAUUGACGACAAAAAUGCUUGGAUCUCCUUGCACACAAAGUAAUGCACAUCAAUCACUUUGGCAGGAACAGUGGCAGAACGAGUCAGAAGAGGAACUUUCCCAAGAGCACUUCUACUUUGCUGAAUGGAUUGUUCAUUCACAUUGGAUUUGUAUCAUUAGAGAACCCUUAUCUCAGUAAUUAGCAAAGAAAGAACACAAAUAAACAGUUAAACUGUGA